UCCGAUUUGUCACCGGCAGUCUCCUUCGAGUGCCGCCUUACGGCAUGGCAACUAAGGAUAAGGGUUGCGCUCGUUGCGGGACUUAACCCAACAUCUCACGACACGAGCUGACGACGGCCAUGCAGCACCUCCGCAGCGGCCCUUGCGGGCAGCGGCCUUUCAGCCGACUUCCACUGCGCUUCGAGCCCAGGUAAGGUUCUUCGCGUUGCGUCGAAUUGAACCACAUGCUCCACCGCUUGUGCGGGCCCCCGUCAAUUCCUUUGAGUUUUAGCCUUGCGGCCGUACUCCCCAGGCGGGGCGCUUAAUGCGUUAGCUACGGCACGGAUCCCGUGGAAGGAAACCCACACCUAGCGCCCACCGUUUACGGCGUGGACUAC
rnacentral:misc_RNA from 1 species